rnacentral:lncRNA from 1 species
CCCUCCGGAGCGCUUAAAGAGACAGCCCCGCCGCCACCGCGCGCGCCCAGCUCCACUGGGCGUCCCCACCCCUGAGCCCUCCUCACCCUUCCCCAGCAGAGUGCUGUGGGGGCUGGGCGCGAGAGGCAGCUGGGGCACCCAGAGGGAAGGGGCUUCGCGGAACGGGGCGCCUAACUCCACUCCCAGCCUUUUCCUGGCCCCCCUCCCAACACACCUCCCCCAAGCCCCGCGGAAGAGGCUGAGCAGCUCCAGUUUCCCCCUCCGGCACCCUCCGGCUCAGAACCUAACCAGCUGCGCUUCUGCCACGAGCGGAGACCAAACAAGUACUGAGAAGCAGCCAGCUGCUAGCCCCCACGGUCCUUCCAGCAGAGAACAGCUUCUGCUCCGAACCGAACCGGAGCUCGACUGCAGCGCUGGGAGCCAGGAGCAGCGCGGCCGCCAGCAGCUCCGGCCCGAGGGUGUGCCUCUGCCUGGCGCCAGCUGCUGUCUGGAAAGCCACAAACCUCUGGAGUCUGUUUCCUGAAAAUAAAAAUCUAUGGUGCAUCGUGUCCUCCGACAAGGACAGCCCAGGCUCUGCAGCGAUAACCUGCAUUUUAGUCUUGCAGAAAAUGAAAUAAUCUGCAGUAGGACAACUUUUUUCUUUUAUUCCUAAAUGUAACCCAAAGUGGCUGUGCAAUGACUCAUUCACAGUCAGAUACUUAGUGCUACCACCGAGUUCCUCAGUCCUAGGAGCCCUAAAAUGACCUUUCUCAGAAGGUAUUUUAAACUCCCUCUUGCCCUUCAUCAUUGACCUUAGUUUCAGUCUUCUAGGUCUUUGCCCCCCCACACACACAACGCAGUGCUUUUUCUGUCUUUAAAGAAGUAAUUGGAUAGUUAUGGAAGGGACUGAGGAGCACACUUUGGGAGUUCCCAAAAAGGGAAAGAGGUGGGGUGCAAAAGAACCAUCCUGAAUUCUUUGCAUUUGGUAAUUUUCAGGGUUUGAAAUUCAUGUCACCUUUCAGUAUCUUUUGUUCCUCUUAGACUUACCUAUAUUUUCUUUUUAGAUUUUUUUGAAGCUUAACUUAGAACAAAGUGAAAAACUCAGAAAUACACUAGAUGAUCUCUUUCCUUUUGGCAAAUACCUUUAACAAACAAUUUUAGAGCCAUUUGCACAAUAGAAAUCAUUACUUAAGCCCUUACAUUUCAUAAAAGAGGGAUUCGUUCUUACUUCCUUUUCUAAAUGCCAGUUAUACAUGAAGCAGGCCUUCUGUAAACGCAGAGACAGUGGAGUUGGUGACUGGGCUUCUAUCACCUAGACAUGUAUUGCCACUUGGCUAACUCUUAACUAGUUCUGAGAGUGACAGCCCAGGCAUAGGUUGGUAAAACACACGGACAAUUUUAAAGUCUACUUUUUACUCUUAUCACUAACUUCUAAACCUUUUUGACAGCUUCGUUAACAAGUGAUAACACUGAUCGCUCAAUUUAAACUUUGCCUCUCCUGCUUUUUGCCUUCCCUCUUCUAGUGAGCUGCUCAUCAACAGCGAAAUGACCAAAGGUAGGCAGGCUCCGUGAGGGUGGGAAGGGAGGAAAGAAAAUGGAUUGCAGACAAUUACAGUGGCUUCUGAACUGCACAGCACUAAUUGUAUAAGAUCUAUACAUGAAUACAAAGAUUUACCCUUUCUUCUGAUUCUGUUUUCUAGUUUGUCCUUUGAAACCUAAAGGCCCCAGGUUUUUCAAUUUGGUUUGUUCUUAAAUAUUUUAAUGUAAACUUAUACUGAAAGAUGAUAGUGUAGAUUAACUGUUCUUUGAAAUUUUCUGUGACUUGCUAAUCUUUUCUUUGCUUCCAGACUAGAUUUAACUCUGCAGGGGUCUGUCUUCAACUUUCUGUCUUUCGGCCCUACUGGAAUAUAAAAUUUCUAAACAUUUUUUCUUUACAUUAAAGAAAGCUUUACAUAAAUCAUAAUCAUGUUUAUUACAAAUUCACAUUUUAGUAAACCACAAUUGAAACUCAGGACUAUUUUCAGAGCUAAGUAAUGUAAAAUGGGGAAAAUGUAGGCUAUCUGAUCAUAUGGUUGCUUAGUAAAGGACAGUUUAGGUACAUGGGAAGGAAAUCAAUGUGUUGAAACUCACAGAUCAGAGACACUUCCUCUCUGUACAUUAGUUUGAAAGCAUGUAUUAUUUCAGAUGAAUAUUUAAAGUACUUUGAAUGUGACAGGCUAAAUAUAAAUAAAGUGAG